GAAAAAUUGGGCGGCUCCUAAAAAUUUGGGAGCGGCAGAUUUCCCCCCUUUUCUCUUUUCAGUAGACACGCAUACACACACUCACAUUUCACUCCACAAACUCAUCUCACUGCAGACACUCACCUCAUUCUCUCCGCUGAAACUCACCGCUCUGACCUUGAAUUGAAUUGGGAUUUCACCGGAAUUAGGGCUUAAAUAGCUUUUUACUUUAAUUGGGGCUUCGAUUUGCUUGGAUUUAAGGUACAAUCCCUCUCUCUCCUUAUCUCUCUCCAUGUCUCUGCGAUGCAGUCUCCCUCUUUCUCUCCCCCAUCUGGCUUUCCCCACCUUUGUUAAUUAGCCUAAUCUGAAGUGCUAAGCACGUUAGUCCUAAUUAUUAAAAACCCCAAAUGUCUGAACACUCUCUACUUCUUGAUAUUCAAUAUCCACCACCACAAACAUUAGUUUCUCACGGAUUGACCAACUGGGUCCCAGUUCUUUCUCUAGUGUAGUUGUUGAGGCACUUGGGUAGUUCAACCUCACAACUUCAUUUUGUAAAUUGAGGUAUUCUUUGACAAGUUUUAUUUUAUUAAUAGUUUUACAGAUUUUCUUAUUUAGGUGUGUGCUGAUUUGUAUAUAAAUUCAGGGGAUUGUUGUUUUCUUGAAUUUUACAGAAAAGAGAAGAAGAUAUAAAAUAAAUGGUGUGUAUGCUUUUUUGUUUUGAAUUGGAGCUCCUAAAGCUCUGGUUAUCGCAGUUGUGGCUUUGUUGUUUUUUGGUAAAGGUCUUGCUGAGGUGAGUUUCUUUACUUUGAGCUUGAGGUAUAUAUGCUUUACAAUUUUUGUUUGAAGCUUAUGUAACAUUUGUGGCAUCUAUGGGUAAUGAUUGUCUCAAGGUCAACAUGUACUUUGUGAGAGUCUACAGGUAUUCAAAGAUGGCUACUGAUAAAGAAAUUCCUGAGGUAUAUAUGCUUUACAAUUUUUGUUUCAUUCAUUACAAGUUCAUAGAUAACUGCACCAGUGUAUAUGAAGUGAUCCUUACUUCAAAAAACAUGACUUUAAAGAUAAGUUGUAGUAGUAUACAGAAGCUGCAUAGGGUAUAUUCUAAAGCUCUCAGGUUCCUCCGACGAGAAGAUCUUGUACACCUUGCUUAUGGACUGUAAGUUUCAGAUUCUGAAGAUGUCUUUAUGCUAAUAAUCCAACCAGGUAAUCAAUUUGUUUCAAAUAAUGCAAAAUUUAUUACGUAUCUUAGUAUCCGGAUUUGCAGCAUUUGAUACAGUAGCUUAAUAACAAAGGUCAUUUGCUUCUAUAUGCCGGUUUAGUCUUUAGACUUGAGAACAAGAAUUAAAGACACCUACGCCCCUCCCCUUGCCAGCAUAUAACAGCUUUUUAAUGUAAUGGACUGGUAGCUCGAACCUUAGUUAUGUUAGAGAUCACUAUUUAGAUGGAAGCAGUACUAUGCUUAUCAUUUCCUUAAUUCCAUAACUAGAGUACUUGACUGAUUGGUGAGAACUUAGAAUACUGUGUUCUUUUAUUUCAAGUAUGUUUCACUUUGAGUGGGAACAUGUACUCAUUUCAAUUUUUUUCCUUUCCAGGAGGAUCAACAACUCUGGAUAAUCCGACAACUCCAUCAGUGUGACCAAUUAGAGGUGUGUACUUGAGAUCAAGAUGAACACUGAGGUUCAGCAGGCUUCUAGAGUUGAUCAUGGAAUUCAGACCAAUAUGACGUCCACCUCAUCUGCAGCCCCAACAAUUAGUCCAAAAAUUUCAAGGUCACGAGUUGAGGUGAUGAAGUGAUUUUCUAUCAGUUUAGGUUGGUUUUGGUGCAUUAUUUGCAAGAAUAGAGAAUUGUUGAUUCACCGCGACUUGGGAUUUUGUGGGUAUAUCUUCUACAAACCCUCACGAGAGCACACUCAUCCACUAGAGCUAUCUAGGGGUUUAAAGGGCUUGUUGCAUAUGCUAAAUGCAACCGUGAUCACCUACGGAAGUGGUACUAGAAGCGAGGAAGGACAUGCACGCGAGAACGAGCGAGAAACGAAGAAACGGGGCUGCCAUCACAGACAGUAGCGCGCCCGCGCUACUUGACAGCGCGCCCGCGCUAUCCACUGGGACAACUAGCGCGCCUGCGCUAGUUUAGCGCGGCCGCGCCCAGCAGAAGUUCCCCGGGCCGAUUUUUACAGCUUUUUAGCGGAUUUUCGCAGCGGUCGAGGCCCGGUUGACUUGGUCAAUGUAUUUUCAUUUCUCGUGUGUAAAACCCUAGCCUAGGAGAAGUAGUUUUAAAAAAAAAAAAAAGAAGAGAGAACAAUAUCGUAGUUAAGUAUUAUUCAUUCAAGCACAUUAUCAGUUUGUAUUAGAUCGUUCUUCGCGAGGAAGUGACAGUUUCGAGCGAGAUCGUGAACAUCAAUUCUGUAACGUGUGAUCUUUAUUAUUAAUUCAAGCAUUUUUAUUCCAUUUAA